UUGAGUGUCCCAAAUUCGCUGUAACGUAACCCCAUUUGUACAGGUCCUAUCCCCUGACCAAUCGGCUAUCCUAACCUUAACCACUCAAGGUCAAAUGACUUACCCCAACCAAUCGGCUAGCUUGGUAGGGCGGG